rnacentral:tRNA from 1 species
GGAAGAGUCACAUAGUGGCUUAGUGUGCACGCUUGGAAAGCGUGUGUGGGGCAACUCACCGAGGGUUCGAAUCCCUCCUCUUCCGCCA